UGAUCAUAUUCUCAGAUUAAAGAUUAAGCCAUGCAUGUCCAAGACUAAACAAGUUGUCAGUGAAUCUGCGUAUGGCUCAUUAACAGAAUCAUAACUUCCCCGAGAACGAUUGACAACUGGAUAACCGUUGUAAUUCAAGGGCUAAUCAUGCAUGAAAAGUAGUUUCUUACGAGACUACUGCAUUUGUUAGUUCCAAACCAACAUUUCAAAAGGUGAAUCAUGACAAAUUGCGGAUCUACAUGUCUUUAUGACGGUAGACGACUCGGUCAGGUCUUUCCCCUAUCAGGUUUCAACCCGAGUGUAUUGUACUCGGGUGCCGCUGACGGGUAACGGAGAAUUAGGGUUCGAUUCCGGAGAAGGAGCCUGAGAGACGGCUACUACAACUAAGGUAGGCAGCAGGCGCGCAAAUUUCCCAAUGCUCAAUGAGCGAGGAAGUGACGAUCAAUAACAAUGUGUGGCUUUUUAAGCUAUGCAAUUGGCAUGACUACAAUUUAAAAAAUAUAAGGAGGAUCAAUUG
rnacentral:rRNA from 1 species